AUCCUGUUGCAGUUCACAAGUGUGAUGAUUGGGUUUUCACGCUCACGUGUGAGAUGCGCCUCCCUCAAACCUUGUUACAACAUCAGCACAUUAUACCUCUGAUG